rnacentral:lncRNA from 1 species
ACGAAAUUGAGAGAGAAAAGAGGGGACUUGAGAGCUUCAGAAGGCCACGGGAGAGCUAAGGCAGAAGAGAAUUUUGCAAGCCAAAAAAAAAAAAAUCACAAAAGAAGGAAAGAAGAAAUUAAGAAAGGUAGCUUUUUAUAUCUUGAUUAAUAAUUUGAUUUUCAUAUAUGAUUAUUAACUUUUAUGAAAUUAUGGGAGGAGAAUAUGUUAUACUUUUUUGUGAAUGAUUAAACUUGCAUAAACAAUAAUCAAACAAGAAAAAUUAAAAAAAUCAAAUGAAGAGUAAAAUCUAGAAAUUUUAGAAAAGUUAGUUUGCUACCUAUUUUUGUAAAAAUUUAUAUCUUGUGAUAUAUAAGGAAUUAAAAUGUGAUCUUUAUGUCUAAAAUUAGCUCCGUAAAUCAGCUACGCACAAAAUCAAGAAUCACUCAAAAAAUCUUAGUAGAUGAUUUAUAGUGAUUUUUUGAGUCAAACUAGUUCGGAGAAAAACUCUAUUGUCCGAAUUUGGAAAAUCAGUUUUUAUAAAUCUAUUGUGUGGGUUAUAUCUCUUAAUUCAACAGUUCGAUCGUUACAAUUUUUGGAUAUGUUAUACAUACAUAAGCUGAGAAUAUGUUCACAAAUUUUGAACCAUUUAAGAUUAAUGUAUGUUUUAUUAUGGAUUUUAAGAAGUGACUGGUCUAGAAUUUUUGUAGCAAAACUUUAGUAACAAGCUCUAAUAUUUAAAAAUGUAUAACUUAAUGAUUUUAAAUCCAAUUUGGGUGAUUCUUAAAGCUCAAUUGGAGUAUUUGAAGUCUAGUUUCUGUUAAAACUAAUUAAUUUGACAAAUAAAUUUUAGUUAAUGGUGAUAAUAUCAUAAUAGUGGACUGACAUUUUAAAAAUAAAUUGUCAUAUAUAUAUUUUCAGAUUUCUUAAAUUUUGUUAUUAACUUUUAAGUUUUGAAAUAUGAAUAGUGAUUUAAUACAAGACACCUUGAAUGGAUUACGAAUUAUUUUGAAAUUAUUAGUUGAUUUAUAUUUAAUUAGAGGUGAAUAUAUUUUGGUGAUGAAUAAUGUAAGACCUCGACUUUUAAUAAAAAUUAAAAAUUUUAUAAUUAUUAUUCUAAAUAGUAAGGUGUUAAGUUGUUAUAAGGAUGAUAUGUGCAAAUUAUAAUAGUAUGUCAGGAAAUAUUCGUUCUGUCGGUGAAUAUUCAUUUUGUCGGUGAUAUUAUGUAAAAGUAUGACGACACCGAUAUGACCAAUCAUUGGUGGCCCCACAACGAAAUAUUGGUAGAUACAAAAAAUGACAUAAAUAACCUUUUUAAUAAAAAUUAUCAACGGUACUAUCACUUUUAACUGUUCAAAUACCCGGUUAUAAAAGUACAUGAACACACGGUAUGGUCUACAGUGGCACACGACAUUCCACAGUAACAUACAGUAUUGCACAGUACUUCAUAUUAUUGACUCAAUAAUUGCCAGAAUAGCAAUUACACAGUAUUUCAUAUUAUUAAAUCAAUAAUUGUCACGGUACAAUAACUCAUAUUAUUUGAUAUGAUAUAAUUCGACUAGUUGGCAAUAUUGUGAGUCUAGAAUAACAAUUGUGAAUAAUUCUUGAAAGGUUGAAAAUGUAUAAAUAAUUGAUGAAUAAAAUGUGUUGAUUAAAGAUAAGUAUGAGAAUUAAGUAGAUGUUUGUUUUGAUUCUUUCUUUUUAUAAAAGUAAAUUUGUUAGGACUUGCCGAUAAUUUAUUUUUUUUAAAGUAGUCUGGACCACAACUUAAUUAAACAAACAAAAUUUGUUACAACCGUAUACAAGUUGGUUUAAAUUACUUUGUGGGGUCACAAAUUCCACUACCAACAUUUUUAUAUAGUUAUUUAGUUAUUUUACCAAAGCUUGUGUGGUUGUUAUCUCCUCAAUUUUCAAUAUAAAUAAGUUGCUCAGAUGAGCAACAAAACACACCAUCAUAACACCAAAUACAUAGCAAAAGAAGUAAAGAGAGAAAAACUCAAGUUUGAGCAUUAGUAAGGCCGAGAGAUAGAGAGAAAUUAAAUAUAAGAGUGCGAGAAUUGUUCAAGUUGAUCAACCUCAUAGAAAGAAGCAUCUAAUUAAUACUAAAUUAAUGGAUAUCAUUUUUUUUCAUACUUCAUAUUAUGAUAAGAAAGUAUUAUUCGUUUGAUCUACAACCUUAUUAUUAAAUGGUGAAAAUUCCUGAAAAUGAUUAGAAUAUCUUUAAUAGUUUAUGUUUUAUCUAAUAUUUCACUUGAAUCUUCCUAUUAAAUGUUAAUCGUGAUAUUUAAAAGGUGAAAAUUAUAUAUUUUUUAAAAUAUAUAUUAUAUUUUAUCUAUAACUCUAAUCUAUUUUCUAGAUAUUAUGUUGACAAUUUGAACUGUGUAUAAAUCAGAAAUCAUUAAUAUUUAUUCUUUAUAGUAUUAUUUUGAUUAUUUCUGUCCAUUCAUUAUAUCAUUGUUAUUGGUACUAAUUAUCAAGACUAAGUUGUUGUGAAUGUCUUUAGCUUGGGUGCAAAGACAAGAUGAUUGUUGAGUGUCUAUUUCUUGUGUAGCAAUGACACGUGGUGAAAAUUCACUUUAGCUUAGGUUCAAAGAGUAAUUGUUGAUUGGCAUGAUCAUGAUUAUUGGUGUUACAUAUGAAUAUCUUUGACCAGAUGCAAAGAUGAAUUGAUUGGUAUGAUCAUGACUAUUAGUGUUACAAAAUAAGAGUAUUUUCGGGUCUAGUGGGGAGAGCAUGGGUACGAAAUGAUGGUCUGAGUUAGUGGUUGUCCUCAUCAAGUUAUAAAAUAGUAUAACAAUAAUUGUACUGAGUACUAAAAUGUGUGUUGUCAUAUUUUAUACGGCAUUGAAAUAAUUUGGGUGUGAAUAUUGUCGUAUUAUAUACGGUACAAUAUUUGUAUUAAAAACUCACAGUAUAUAUGUUGUCGUAUUUUGCAUGACAAUAUAAAUUGUUGUAAAUAGGAAAAUUCGUGUUUGGAAUAUGUAUUUUGGCAACUGAAAUUGGGUGGUAAAUACCUGAAUUUGGGGGCGUCACACUGGGUAUAUUGUGUGUUCUUAAUUUUUCGUCUUUCAUAUAAUAUCUGUGUGAUUACAAUAUUAUUUGUUCUUAAAUUCUAACA